UACGGAGGGUGCGAGCGUUGUCCGGAAUCAUUGGGCGUAAAGGGUGCGUAGGCGGGUAGGUAAGUCAGUGGUGAAAUCUUCGAGCUUAACUCGGAAACUGCCUUUGAUACUAUCUAUCUUGAAUAUUGUGGAGGUAAGCGGAAUAUGUCAUGUAGCGGUGAAAUGCUUAGAUAUGACAUAGAACACCUAUUGCGAAGGCAGCUUACUACGCAUAUAUUGACGCUGAGGCACGAAAGCGUGGGGAUCAAACAGG
rnacentral:rRNA from 1 species